rnacentral:rRNA from 1 species
AUUGAACGCUGGCGGCAUGCUUUGCACAUGCAAGUCGAACGGCAGCGCGGGCUUCGGCCUGGCGGCGAGUGGCGAACGGGUGAGUAAUACAUCGGAACGUGCCCAGUAGUGGGGGAUAGCUCGGCGAAAGCCGGAUUAAUACCGCAUACGACCUGAGGGUGAAAGCGGGGGAUCUUCGGACCUCGCGCUAUUGGAGCGGCCGAUGGCAGAUUAGCUAGUUGGUGGGGUAAAGGCCUACCAAGGCGACGAUCUGUAGCUGGUCUGAGAGGACGACCAGCCACACUGGGACUGAGACACGGCCCAGACUCCUACGGGAGGCAGCAGUGGGGAAUUUUGGACAAUGGGCGAAAGCCUGAUCCAGCAAUACCGCGUGUGUGAUGAAGGCCUUCGGGUUGUAAAGCACUUUUGGCGGGAACGAAAAGGACUGUGCCAAUACCACGGUUCGAUGACGGUACCCGCAGAAUAAGCACCGGCUAACUACGUG